rnacentral:rRNA from 1 species
GACGAACGCUGGCGGCGUGCUUAACACAUGCAAGUCGAACGGUAAGGCCCUUCGGGGUACACGAGUGGCGAACGGGUGAGUAACACGUGGGUGAUCUGCCCUGCACUUCGGGAUAAGCCUGGGAAACUGGGUCUAAUACCGGAUAGGACCCUGGGGUGCAUGUCCUGGGGUGGAAAGCUUUUGCGGUGUGGGAUGGGCCCGCGGCCUAUCAGCUUGUUGGUGGGGUGAUGGCCUACCAAGGCGACGACGGGUAGCCGGCCUGAGAGGGUGACCGGCCAAACUGGGACUGAGAUACGGCCCAGACUCCUACGGGAGGCAGCAGUGGGGAAUAUUGCACAAUGGGCGAAAGCCUGACGCAGCAACGCCGCGUGCGGGAUGACGGCCUUCGGGUUGUAAACCUCUUUUAGCAGGGAAGAAGCGAAAGUGACGGUACCUGCAGAAAAAGCACCGGCUAACUACGUGCCAGCAGCCGCCGUAA